UACGUAGGGCGCAAGCGUUGUCCGGAAUUAUUGGGCGUAAAGAGCUCGUAGGCGGUCUGUCGCGUCGGAUGUGAAAGCCCGGGGCUUAACCCCGGGUCUGCAUUCGAUACGGGCAGACUAGAGUGUGGUAGGGGAGAUCGGAAUUCCUGGUGUAGCGGUGAAAUGCGCAGAUAUCAGGAAGAACACCAAUGGCGAAGGCAGCUCUCUGGGACGGUACUGACGCUGAGACGCGAAAGCGUGGGGAGCGAACAGG
rnacentral:rRNA from 1 species